rnacentral:rRNA from 1 species
GAUGAACGCUAGCGGCAGGCCUAAUACAUGCAAGUCGAACGGGAUCCAGAUCAAAGCUUGCUUUGGUCUGGUGAGAGUGGCGCACGGGUGCGUAACGCGUGAGCAACCUACCCUUGUCAGGGGGAUAGCCCGGCGAAAGUCGGAUUAAUACCGCAUGGCAUCAUUGAGAGGCAUCUUUCGAUGAUCAAAGAUUUAUCGGACAAGGAUGGGCUCGCGUGACAUUAGCUAGUUGGUAAGGUAACGGCUUACCAAGGCUGCGAUGUCUAGGGGCUCUGAGAGGAGAAUCCCCCACACUGGUACUGAGACACGGACCAGACUCCUACGGGAGGCAGCAGUAAGGAAUAUUGGUCAAUGGACGGAAGUCUGAACCAGCCAUGCCGCGUGCAGGAAGACGGCCCUAUGGGUUGUAAACUGCUUUUAUACGGGAACAAACGUCGGUACGUGUACCGGUCUGAGUGUACCGUAAGAAUAAGGAUCGGCUAACUCCGUG